AUUGAACGCUGGCGGCAUGCCUUACACAUGCAAGUCGAACGGUAACGGGCCUUCGGGUGCCGACGAGUGGCGAACGGGUGAGUAAUGUAUCGGAACGUACCUUUCAGUGGGGGAUAACGUAGCGAAAGUUACGCUAAUACCGCAUAUUCUGUGAGCAGGAAAGCAGGGGAUCGCAAGACCUUGCGCUGAUUGAGCGGCCGAUAUCAGAUUAGGUAGUUGGUGAGGUAAAGGCUCACAAAGGCGACGAUCUGUAGCGGGUCUGAGAGGAUGAUCCGCCACACUGGAACUGAGACACGGUCCAGACUCCUACGGGAGGCAGCAGUGGGGAAUUUUGGACAAUGGGGGCAACCCUGAUCCAGCCAUGCCGCGUGAGUGAAGAAGGCCUUCGGGUUGUAAAGCUCUUUCGGCCGGGAAGAAAUCGUAUCAGCUAAUACCUGGUGCGGAUGACGGUACCGGCAUAAGAAGCACCGGCUAACUACGUGCCAGCCGCCGCGGUAAGAC
rnacentral:rRNA from 1 species